GAUCCUGGCUCAGAUUGAACGCUGGCGGCAGGCCUAACACAUGCAAGUCGAACGGUAACAGGAAGAAGCUUGCUUCUUUGCUGACGAGUGGCGGACGGGUGAGUAAUGUCUGGGAAACUGCCUGAUGGAGGGGGAUAACUACUGGAAACGGUAGCUAAUACCGCAUAACGUCGCAAGACCAAAGAGGGGGACCUCGGCGUCUUGCCAUCGGUAUGUUGCCCAGAUGGGAGUUAGCUAGUAGGUGGGG
rnacentral:rRNA from 1 species